rnacentral:rRNA from 1 species
UUACCUACGGGGGGAGCAGUGAGGAAUAUUGGUCAAUGGGCGGGAGCCUGAACCAGCCAAGUCGCGUGAGGGAUGACGGCCCUAUGGGUUGUAAACCUCUUUUGUCAGGGAGCAAUUGGCGCUACGUGUAGCGUUAUCGAGAGUACCUGAAGAAAAAGCAUCGGCUAACUCCGUGCCAGCAGCCGCGGUAAUACGGAGGAUGCGAGCGUUAUCCGGAUUUAUUGGGUUUAAAGGGUGCGUAGGCGGAAUGCCAAGUCAGCGGUAAAAUCGCGGGGCUCAACCUCGCUCCGCCGUUGCAACUGGCG